rnacentral:rRNA from 1 species
GAUUAAGUUAUUAAGGGCGCACGGUGGAUGCCUUGGCACUAGAAGCCGAUGAAGGACGUUACUAACGACGAUAUGCUUUGGGGAGCUGUAAGUAAGCUUUGAUCCAGAGAUUUCCGAAUGGGGAAACCCAGCAUGAGUUAUGUCAUGUUAUCGAUAUGUGAAUACAUAGCAUAUCAGAAGGCACACCCGGAGAACUGAAACAUCUUAGUACCCGGAGGAAGAGAAAGAAAAUUCGAUUCCCUUAGUAGCGGCGAGCGAAACGGGAAGAGCCCAAACCAACAAGCUUGCUUGUUGGGGUUGUAGGACACUCUAUACGGAGUUACAAAGGACGACAUUAGACGAAUCAUCUGGAAAGAUGAAUCAAAGAAGGUAAUAAUCCUGUAGUCGAAAAUGUUGUCUCUCUUGAGUGGAUCCUGAGUACGACGGAGCACGUGAAAUUCCGUCGGAAUCUGGGAGGACCAUCUCCUAAGGCUAAAUACUCUCUAGUGACCGAUAGUGAACCAGUACCGUGAGGGAAAGGUGAAAAGCACCCCGGAAGGGGAGUGAAAUAGAACCUGAAACCGUGUGCUUACAAGUAGUCAGAGCCCGUUAAUGGGUGAUGGCGUGCCUUUUGUAGAAUGAACCGGCGAGUUACGAUUUGAUGCAAGGUUAAGCAGUAAAUGUGGAGCCGUAGCGAAAGCGAGUCUGAAUAGGGCGUUUAGUAUUUGGUCGUAGACCCGAAACCAGGUGAUCUACCCUUGGUCAGGUUGAAGUUCAGGUAACACUGAAUGGAGGACCGAACCGACUUACGUUGAAAAGUGAGCGGAUGAACUGAGGGUAGCGGAGAAAUUCCAAUCGAACCUGGAGAUAGCUGGUUCUCUCCGAAAUAGCUUUAGGGCUAGCCUCAAGUGAUGAUUAUUGGAGGUAGAGCACUGUUUGGACGAGGGGCCCCUCUCGGGUUACCGAAUUCAGACAAACUCCGAAUGCCAAUUAAUUUAACUUGGGAGUCAGAACAUGGGUGAUAAGGUCCGUGUUCGAAAGGGAAACAGCCCAGACCACCAGCUAAGGUCCCAAAAUAUAUGUUAAGUGGAAAAGGAUGUGGCGUUGCCCAGACAACUAGGAUGUUGGCUUAGAAGCAGCCAUCAUUUAAAGAGUGCGUAAUAGCUCACUAGUCGAGUGACACUGCGCCGAAAAUGUACCGGGGCUAAACAUAUUACCGAAGCUGUGGAUUGUCCUUUGGACAAUGGUAGGAGAGCGUUCUAAGGGCGUUGAAGCAUGAUCGUAAGGACAUGUGGAGCGCUUAGAAGUGAGAAUGCCGGUGUGAGUAGCGAAAGACGGGUGAGAAUCCCGUCCACCGAUUGACUAAGGUUUCCAGAGGAAGGCUCGUCCGCUCUGGGUUAGUCGGGUCCUAAGCUGAGGCCGACAGGCGUAGGCGAUGGAUAACAGGUUGAUAUUCCUGUACCACCUAUAAUCGUUUUAAUCGAUGGGGGGACGCAGUAGGAUAGGCGAAGCGUGCGAUUGGAUUGCACGUCUAAGCAGUAAGGCUGAGUA